rnacentral:rRNA from 1 species
GACGAACGCUGGUGGCGUGCUUAACACAUGCAAGUCGAACGGGAUUUAGUAAACAGAAGCCUCGGUGGAAGAUUACUAAUGAGAGUGGCGAACGGGUGAGUAACGCGUGAGCAACCUGCCUAUGACGGUGGGAUAGCCUCGGGAAACCGGGAUUAAUACCGCAUAAAAUCGUAGAAACACAUGUUUUAACGGUCAAAGAUUUAUCGGUCAUAGAUGGGCUCGCGUCUGAUUAGCUAGUUGGUGAGAUAACAGCCCACCAAGGCGACGAUCAGUAGCCGGUCUGAGAGGAUGAACGGCCACAUUGGAACUGAGACACGGUCCAAACUCCUACGGGAGGCAGCAGUGGGGAAUAUUGCACAAUGGGGGAAACCCUGAUGCAGCGACGCCGCGUGAACGAAGAAGGUAUUCGUAUCGUAAAGUUCUGUCCUAUGGGAAGAUAAUGACAGUACCAUAGAAGAAAGCUCCGGCUAAAUACGUG